AUUUAGAGGAAGUAAAAGUCGUAACAAGGUUUCCGUAGGUGAACCUGCGGAAGGAUCAUUACAGAGUUCAUGCCCUCACGGGUAGAUCUCCCACCCUUGAAUAUUAUACCUUCGUUGCUUUGGCAGGCCGUGGAAACACCAGAGGCUCCGGCUGAUGCGUGCCUGCCAGAGGAAACAAACUCUGUUUUUAGUGAUGUCUGAGUACUAUAUAAUAGUUAAAACUUUCAACAACGGAUCUCUUGGUUCUGGCAUCGAUGAAGAACGCAGCGAAAUGCGAUAAGUAAUGUGAAUUGCAGAAUUCAGUGAAUCAUCGAAUCUUUGAACGCACAUUGCGCCCCGUGGUAUUCCGCGGGGCAUGCCUGUUCGAGCGUCAUUUCAACCCAUCAAGCUUCGGCUUGGUCUUGGGGCCUGCGGUUUCGCAGCCUCUAAACCCAGUGGCGGUGCUAUUGAGCUCUGAGCGUAGUAAUUUCUCUCGCUAUAGAGUCUCGGUGGUGACUUGCCAACAACCCCCAAUUUUUAUCAGGUUGACCUCGGAUCAGGUAGGGAUACCCGCUGAACUUAAGCAUAUCAAUAAGCGGAAGGA
rnacentral:rRNA from 1 species